rnacentral:rRNA from 1 species
ACGGCUCAGUAACACGUGGACAACCUACCCUGAGGACGGGGAUAAACCCGGGAAACUGGGUAUAAUACCCGAUGGUCCUUGGAUGCUGGAAUGCGCCAAGGUCGAAAGCUCCGGCGCCUCAGGAUGGGUCUGCGGCCUAUCAGGGUAGCAGUGGGUGUAAUGUACCUACUAGCCUACGACGGGUACGGGUUGUGAGAGCAAGAGCCCGGAGAUGGAUUCUGAGACACGAAUCCAGGCCCUACGGGGUGCAGCAGGCGCGAAAACUUUACAAUGCCGGCAACGGCGAUAAGGGGACCUCGAGUGCCAGGAUACAAUCUUGGCUGUCGUGAUGCCUAAAAAGCAUUACAUAGCAAGGGCCGGGCAAGACCGGUGCCAGCCGCCGCGGUAACACCGGCGGCUCGAGUGGUAACCGCUAUUAUUGGGUCUAAAGGGUCUGUAGCCGGCCGACUAAGUCUCUUGGGAAAUCUGGCAGCUCAACUGUCAGGCUUUCAGGGGAUACUGGUCGGCUCGAGACCGGGAGAGGUGAGAGGUACUUCAGGGGUAGGGGUGAAAUCUUGUAAUCCUUGAAGGACCACCAGUGGCGAAGGCGUCUCACCAGAACGGAUCUGACGGCAAGGGACGAAAGCUAGGGGCACGAACCGGAUUAGAUACCCGGGUAGUCCUAGCCGUAAACAAUACUCGCUAGGUGUCAGCCACGGUGCGACCGUGGUUUGGUGCCGUAGGGAAGCCGUGAAGCGAGCCACCUGGGAAGUACGGCCGCAAGCUGAAACUAAAGGAAUUGGCGGGGGGAGCAC